GCUCGUUACACUAAAAGAGUCAGAUCCUGGUUGUCCGGCCGGCGCACAUGACUUCUCUCUGUCAACGCCACGGACUUGGCUUUACUUGUUCUGUCCCCACCAAGCGGGGAGUGAGUGUCAGCAAAGACUAGGUGAUGUGAGCUGGGGUCGCGCUCCUGAGUUUGCAGCCCGGCUCUGCCCCGUGUGAGCGGCGAGACCUCGGGCAGGUGAUCUAAUCUGUCUGAACUUCUGUUUCCUCGUCCGCCAAACCGAAAAUAUUAAUGAUCGUAUAUGCAUCUUCGGCCUGUGGUGAGUGCCUGGACUGAAAGCACGCAGCGUAGUGCCGGGCACGGAGUAAACGCUCGAGCGCGUUUGCUCGCUCGCUACAGGUACCGUGACGCACAGGCCGACCUCGUGCUGUUGCUUCGAGCUUGGUUGUGCUUCGCGGAUUCUGCGUUUUUCACAAACUGAAGGUUUGUGGCAGCCCUGCCUCGAGCAAGUCCGUCGGUGCCGGUUUCCCCAGAGCCUUUGCUCGCUUUGUGCCCCGGGUCACGUUUUGAUCCUCCUCAACAUUUUUCAAGCUUUUUCAUGAUGAUUCUAUUUGUCGUGGUGACCUGUGAUCAGUGACCUUUGAUGUUACCAUUGCAAAAAGAUUACGACUCACUGAAGGCUCACGUGAUGUUCAGAAUUAAGGUAUGCACAUUUUUUUUUUUUUUUUUUUGCGUUUAUUUGAGACGGGGCUCAGAUAUGAAUCUCCGUAACCUG